rnacentral:lncRNA from 1 species
CAUCUAGUGUAAGAUUCUUGCUCACAAAGUCAGUGUAGGUUUAGGCAUGGAUCUUUUCUUGUAGAGGGGGCCUUAAGUAAAAUCAAAUAUUGGUUGGUUAUUCUCAUGAGUCUUGUACCACCAUUGCUAUGGCAUGUUUUACAGGCUGGACACCAUUAUAGAUCAAAGCAUUUGUGUGUGGGUUGGUGUUUAAUUGUAUAGUAUGUCUUCUAGUACAAAAACAAAAACAAAAACAAAAAGACACACAAAUAGCAACAACAACAACAACAACAACCAAACCAAACCAGAACCACAACACAAACACUAGAAUGUAAGCCAUAGAAAGGUCAAGCUGGUGCCUACAAAGAGUCUUUACAACAUUCUACAUUCC